UGGCUCAGGAUGAACGCUGGCGGUAUGCUUAACACAUGCAAGUCGAACGGUGUCUUCGGACAUAGUGGCGGACGGGUGAGUAACGCGUGAGAAUCUAGCUUCAGGUUUGGGACAACCACUGGAAACGGUGGCUAAUACCGAAUGUGCCGAGAGGUGAAAGGCUUGCUGCCUGAAGAUGAGCUCGCGUCUGAUUAGCUAGUAGGUGGGGUAAGAGCCUACCUAGGCGACGAUCAGUAGCUGGUCGAGAGAGGAUGAUCAGCCACACUGGGACUGAGACACGGCCCAGACUCCUACGGGAGGCAGCAGUGGGGAAUUUUCCGCAAUGGGCGAAAGCCUGACGGAGCAAUACCGCGUGAGGGAGGAAGGCUCUUGGGUUGUAAACCUCUUUUCUCAGGGAAGAACACAAUGACGGUACCUGAGGAAUCAGCAUCGGCUAACUCCGUGCCAGCAGCCGCGGUAAUACGGAGGAUGCAAGCGUUAUCCGGAAUGAUUGGGCGUAAAGCGUCCGCAGGUGGCUGUGUAAGUCUGCUGUCAAAGAGCGAAGCUCAACUUCGUAAAGGCAGUGGAAACUACACGGCUAGAGUGCGUUCGGGGCAGAGGGAAUUCCUGGUGUAGCGGUGAAAUGCGUAGAGAUCAGGAAGAACACCGGUGGCGAAGGCGCUCUGCUAGGCCGCAACUGACACUGAGGGACGAAAGCUAGGGGAGCGAAUGGGAUUAGAUACCCCAGUAGUCCUAGCUGUAAACGAUGGAUACUAGGCGUGGCUUGUAUCGACCCGAGCCGUGCCGUAGCUAACGCGUUAAGUAUCCCGCCUGGGGAGUACGCACGCAAGUGUGAAACUCAAAGGAAUUGACGGGGGCCCGCACAAGCGGUGGAGUAUGUGGUUUAAUUCGAUGCAACGCGAAGAACCUUACCAAGGCUUGACAUGUCGCGAAUCUGAUUGAAAGGUCAGAGUGCCUUCGGGAGCGCGAACACAGGUGGUGCAUGGCUGUCGUCAGCUCGUGUCGUGAGAUGUUGGGUUAAGUCCCGCAACGAGCGCAACCCUCGUUUUUAGUUGCCAGCAUUAAGUUGGGCACUCUAGAGAGACUGCCGGUGACAAACCGGAGGAAGGUGGGGAUGACGUCAAGUCAGCAUGCCCCUUACGCCUUGGGCUACACACGUACUACAAUGCUACGGACAGAGGGCAGCAAGCUAGCGAUAGCAAGCUAAUCCCAUAAACCGUGGCUCAGUUCAGAUCGAAGGCUGCAACUCGCCUUCGUGAAGGAGGAAUCGCUAGUAAUUGCAGGUCAGCAUACUGCAGUGAAUUCGUUCCCGGGCCUUGUACACACCGCCCGUCACACCAUGGAAGCUGGCAACGCCCGAAGUCAUUACUCCAACCAUUCGUGGGGGAGGAUGCCUAAGGCAGUGCUGGUGACUGGGGUGAAGUCGUAACAAGGUAGCCGUACCGGAAGGUGUGGCUGGAUCACCUCCUYUUUAGGGAGACCUACACCCCUCAAAUAUUGAAAGCAAAGUGCAAAUAAAUAUKGAGAUGGUCAAACCUAGGUCGGUCG
rnacentral:rRNA from 1 species